UGAAUACGAGACGCUAAGGCGUCGAAGUAGUGUAUGUCAUACUUCCAAGAAAAGCUUGCACUGUCAUAAGUAAAAAAUGCCUGUACCAUAACCGACACAGGUGGGUAGGUAGAGUAUACUAAGGGGCGCGAGAUAACUCUCUCUAAGGAACUCGGCAAAAUAACUCCGUAACUUCGGGAGAAGGAGCACCUUAUUCUAUAAGGUUGCAAUAACAAGAUCCAAGCAACUGUUUAUCAAAAACACAGGUCUCCGCUAAGUCGUAAGACGAUGUAUGGGGGCUGACGCCUGCCCAGUGCCAGAAGGUUAAAGAAGUCGGUUAGCAUUAGCGAAGCUGGUAACUGAAGCCCUGGUGAACGGCGGCCGUAACAAUAACGGUCCUAAGGUAGCGAAAUUCCUUGUCGGGUAAGUUCCGACCCGCACGAAAGGCGUAAUGAUUUGGAUACUGUCUCGGAGAGGGGCUCGGUGAAAUAGACUUGUCUGUGAAGAUGCGGACUACCUGCACCAGGACAGAAAGACCCUAUGAAGCUUUACUGUAACUUGAAAUUGAAAUUGGACUUUAUUCGCGCAGUAAAGGUGGGAGGUGUUGAUUAUAAUCUUGCGGGAUUAUUGGAGCCAUCAGUGAGAUACCACUCUUGUAAUGUUAGAUUUCUAACUUUGAAUCAUUAUCUGGUCAAAGGACAGUUUCAGGCGGGCAGUUUGACUGGGGCGGUCGCCUCCCAAACGGUAACGGAGGCGUACAAAGGUUUCCUCUGAACGGGUAGAAAUCGUAUCUAGAGUGUAAAGGCAUAAGGAAGCUUGACUGUGAGACCUACAAGUCGAACAGGGACGAAAGUCGGUCUUAGUGAUCUGACGGUACUGAGUGGAAAGGCCGUCACUCAACGGAUAAAAGUUACUCUAGGAUAACAGGCUGAUCUCCCCCAAGAGUUCACAUCGACGGGGAGGUUUGGCACCUCGAUGUCGGCUCAUCGCAUCCUGGGGCGGUAGUACGUCCCAAGGGUUGGGCUGUUCGCCCAUGAAAGCGGUACGCGAGCUGGGUUCAGAACGUCGUGAGACAGUUCGGUCCAUAUCCGGUGUAGGCGUUAGAAUAUUGAGAGGAGCCUUCUUUAGUACGAGAGGACCGAGAAGGACAUACCUCUGGUGUACCAGUUAUCGUGCCAACGGUAAACGCUGGGUAGCUAUGUAUGGAGUGGAUAACCGCUGAAAGCAUCUAAGUGGGAAGCCCACCUCAAGAUAAGUAUUCCC
rnacentral:rRNA from 1 species